AUGGUGGAAAAUUGUUCUCUCACGAAUGCAAAUCGUUUAGUUUUAUUUACACACAACUGAUAUCAAUUUACUUAUCAUCAUUCUAGAAGUUCAUCGAACUACUUUGUUUAUUUUUUCUAUAAAUUCGAUAAAUUUCUGUUCCACUUAUUAUUCAAAUAAUAUUUAGUAAAGUGAAUACAAGUCAUGAUGCAAAUUAACGCAAAAUACUUACUUAUUUUAUUUGCUUGUUUAUUUACUUUGCAUAAUGAGUCAUUUGCGUGGCGACGAUUUGCUCGAGGAAGAAGUAAAUAUGGAUUAGGUGAACCGGCUUCAUCGAGAAAAUAUACUCCUUCAAAGGAUAUGUGGUUUGAACAAUACUUAGAUCAUUUUGACCCGACCAACGGAAAAACAUGGAAACAAAGAUAUUUCAUGAAUAAAGAAUAUCACAAAAACGGAGGACCUGUAUUUUUGAUGAUUGGAGGAGAAGGUGAAGCAAGUCCUCAUUGGAUGAAAGAGGGUCAAUGGAUAGAAUACGCCAAACAGUACAAUGCAUUAUGUUUUCAAUUAGAGCAUCGUUUUUAUGGCAAAAGUCGACCCACAGUGGACUUAAGUACUAAAAACUUAGUAUAUUUAUCAUCUGAACAAGCUCUUGCUGAUUUAGCAUAUUUUAUUCAAAAUAUGACCCAUUUAUAUCAAAUCCCCCAUGAUACUAAAUGGAUUGCAUUUGGUGGAUCUUAUCCAGGAUCUCUAGCAGCUUGGAUGCGUAUUAAAUAUCCUCAUUUAAUCCAUGGUGCUGUAUCUUCAAGUGGGCCAUUACUUGCUAAAAUUGACUUCCGUCAGUACUACGUUGUAGUAGAAAAUGCAUUAAAAACUCAUUCAGAUAAAUGUGUUAGUGCCGUUGCUGAUGGUAUGAACCAAAUACAAAUAAUGCUUCAUCAUGUCCUUGGUCAACAAAAUGUUGUGAAAACAUUUAAACUUUGUCAACCAUUUGAUUCUUCUAAUCCACAAAGAAAUGACGUAUCUAAUUUAUUUGAAACUUUAGCAAGCAAUUUUGCUGAAGUUGUUCAGUACAAUAAAGACAAUCGUAAAACCUCAAAAACAGCUAACAUAACAAUUGAUACUGUUUGUGAUAUUCUUGUUGAUGAGAAGAAAGGAAUUUCUGCACAGCGAUUAGCAGCUGUCAGUAAUUUAUUACUGGAAGCUAACGGCGAAAAAUGCUUAGAUUAUCAAUAUAGUAAAAUGAUAGACGAGCUUAGAAAUGUAUCUUGGGAAGCAGAAACUUCAGAAGGUGGUCGACAGUGGUUUUAUCAAACAUGUACCGAAUUUGGUUUUUUCCAAACUUCUACUGCUCGACCCGAACUUUUCAGUAAAACAUUUCCCGUUGAAUUUUUCAUUCAACAAUGUUCAGAUAUUUUUGGUCCAAAAUAUAAUUUCAAGCUAUUAGAUGAUGGAGUGGAAAGAACGAAUAUUCUGUAUGGAGGAUUAUAUCUCGAAGUUUCAAACGUUGUUUAUGUUCAUGGAUCUAUUGAUCCUUGGCAUGCAUUGGGAAUCAUAAAAUCAUCAAAUUCUGAAGCACAAGCAAUUUUCAUAAAUGGUACUGCUCAUUGUGCCAAUAUGUAUCCUGCAUCACCUAAUGACUUACCACAAUUAGUGGAAGCUCGAAAGCAAGUUGGAAAACUCAUCGGACAGUGGUUGAUGCAGAAAAAAACUCAUAAGAAAAAAUUAAAGGAAUAUUUCAGCUAAAUUGACUUGCCGCUGAUGUAGACAUUAAGGCUACACAAAUUCAAGCUUAGAAAAUGAUUAAAAAAUACCAGUAACAUCACCAAGAUCAGAGGUAUUGUCAGGAUGACGAUAAUUAUCACGAAAAGCUGGAUCGUCAAGAGUUUCUUUUCUUCGUAAAGGAUGAUGAUUAGCUUUUUGUCCAGUUGAUUCAUGAAGAUUUUCCCAAGCUUGUCUAUAAUAUCUAUUCAGUCCUCCACGACUUUCUGAUGAGCUGCUGUCGAAACUGGCAACAGUAUUACAAUCUGCAAAAAGAAAAAAAAAACAUUAAUUAAAGCAAUAGUAUCACUGCAAUCCCGCAUCGAGGUUUCCCUGGAGAAUGCGUGCGAAAUUGCGGAGAAAACAAGGCCAGUGGGAAUAUAUAUAUUUAUAAUGGAAGAAAAAGAACGUAAAUGAAAAUGCGUGCAAGAGUAGCGGGAUAAGGCGAACUACUAGUUCUAAAUAAAAAAAGUGCUCCUUUAGUGCG
rnacentral:misc_RNA from 1 species